rnacentral:tRNA from 1 species
GGGUCGGCUCGCCUAUUGGUGUAGGUAACGGUCUGUAAAACCGCCGCGUUCCGCGUUGCGAGUUCAAUUCUCGCCCGACCCU